UGGGAGUAAAAGUCGUAACAAGGUCUCCGUUGGUGAACCAGCGGAGGGAUCAUUACCGAGUUUACAACUCCCAAACCCAAUGUGAACCAUACCAAACUGUUGCCUCGGCGGGGUCACGCCCCGGGUGCGUCGCAGCCCCGGAACCAGGCGCCCGCCGGAGGGACCAACCAAACUCUUUCUGUAGUCCCCUCGCGGACGUUAUUUCUUACAGCUCUGAGCAAAAAUUCAAAAUGAAUCAAAACUUUCAACAACGGAUCUCUUGGUUCUGGCAUCGAUGAAGAACGCAGCGAAAUGCGAUAAGUAAUGUGAAUUGCAGAAUUCAGUGAAUCAUCGAAUCUUUGAACGCACAUUGCGCCCGCCAGUAUUCUGGCGGGCAUGCCUGUCCGAGCGUCAUUUCAACCCUCGAACCCCUCCGGGGGGUCGGCGUUGGGGAUCGGGAACCCCUAAGACGGGAUCCCGGCCCCGAAAUACAGUGGCGGUCUCGCCGCAGCCUCUCAUGCGCAGUAGUUUGCACAACUCGCACCGGGAGCGCGGCGCGUCCACGUCCGUAAAACACCCAACUUCUGAAAUGUUGACCUCGGAUCAGGUAGGAAUACCCGCUGAACUUAAGCAUAUCAAUAAGCGGAGGU
rnacentral:rRNA from 1 species